UACGGGGGGAGCAAGCGUUGUUCGGAUUUACUGGGCGUAAAGGGCGCGUAGGCGGUCGUGACAAGUCACUUGUGAAAUCUCCGGGCUUAACUCGGAACGGUCAAGUGAUACUGUCGGGCUAGAGUCCGGAAGAGGCGAGUGGAAUUCCCGGUGUAGCGGUGAAAUGCGCAGAUAUCAGGAGGAACACCGGUGGCCGAAGGCGGGUCUCUGGGCCGAAAACUGACGCUGGAGGAGCGAAAGCCGUGGGGAGCAAACAGGA
rnacentral:rRNA from 1 species